ensembl:lncRNA
AAAAGAUUAACAAAGAGAAGAUGUAUGAAGAUCAGGGGAGAGAUGUGCACAGAGUGACCCAAACGUCAUCCUGAGACAAGAAGUAAUGAACUUAAAAGCCAGAGGGUGGGACCCUUUCCAGGCAAUGCUCCCUUUGUUUCCAGUAUGCUGCCCUGAGAACUGAGAAGCUAGGCAAGCCUCUGCGUCCAAGGGCCUGCAAGCCAGUUACUAGCUGCUUGAGUUCUGGCCACAUUGGGAUUCAGAGACAGACACAUUGUAACUGCCAUCAGCAUUGAAACUGAUGGAAGAAAGUAGGGAUAGUGCUUAAGGAUCUUUACCACUGGGGAUAAAGAUUUAAUCACUUUAAGAAACUAAAUAGAUUCCUUGUCUGUAUGCUUGUUCUUGCUCAGUCCUGUCUGACUUUUUGUGACCCCAUGUACUGCAGCAUACCAGGCUUCCCUGACCUUCACUGUCUCCCAGAGUUUGCACAAAGUCAUGCGCAUUGAGUCAGUGAUCCAACCAUCUCCUCCUCUGCUGUCCCUUUCUUCUCCUGCCCUUCAUCUUUCCCAGCAUCAGGGUGUUUCCCAGUGAGUCGGCUCUUCGCAUUGGGUGGACAUAGUAUUAUCUUCAUGGUAGAACAUGUUAACAGUUUCAUAGAGAUGGUGUGUGAUUAAAUUAAGUGAGAUACUAUGUAUAAAUCUCCUAGUGCUGAGCACUUAUGAAUGAAUAAUUUCAGAUGCUGUUAGCUCUUAGGUUAUGGAUUAUUUACUUAUGUGUGUGUGCUUAGUCACUCAGUGGUGUCUGACUCUAUGACCCCGUGGACUGCAGCCUGUCAGGCUCCUCUGUCCAUGGGAAUUCUCCAGGCAGGAAUACCAGAGUGGAUUGCCAUGCCCUCCUCUAGGAAAUCUUCCUAACCCAGGGAUCAAACCCAAGUCUCCUGCACUGCAGGCAGAUUAUUUACUGUCUGAGCCACUAGGAAAGCCCAAUAAAACUGGAGUGGUAGCUUGUCCCUUCUCCAGGGCAUCUUCCCGACCCAGGAAUUGAACCGGGGUCUCUUGCAAUUGCAGCCGGAUUCUUUGCCAGCUGAGCUUCCAGGGUGUGUAUGUGUGUGUAAAUUGGACCUAAGAAGACUGGAAGGUAUUACAAUAGUAUUACAGCGCAGGGCUGUCAACAGAACUUGCUGUGGCUUGGGGAUAUUUUGUGCCUCUGCUGUCCACUGGGCAUACGUGCGUAUUGAACACUGUGGCUAGUGCAGCUGAGGAAUCGGAUUUUAAUUUAAUUAAUCUGUAAAUUUAGAUAGCCGCUUGUGGAUUGGAGCUGCCAUCAAGGACUGCAAGAUGGAAGAUAUUUUAGGUGUUAUCUGAUCUAAACCUGUUGUUACAGGGGAUAAUAUACGUAAUUCGGAAAGAUAUGAAAUGACACGCGCAGGGUUUCACAACUGCUAAGGGGGCUGAACCAACAUUUUGAUCAGACUCCAAUUAUCCAAACCAAGGCAUCAUAACAAAAUUUAGACUUAACACAAGGGCAGGUUAACAAAAAGUACAGGGCCAGAUCUUCCUAACUCUAAAGUGUUAGUCGCUCAGUCGUACAGGACUGAAGUGACUUUGAAUUCAUGUACCACUGUAAGUUUGGAGACAAACUUAUCAACUAAACUACGCCAUCUAGUUAAGCAUCUAAAGCUCAGCUAUUUAUAAAUCCAAGGGACUUGCCUGAUAGUCCAGUUGUUGAGUCCACGCUUCCAUUGCCUGCACAGGGAACUAAGAUUCUGCAUGCCACAUGGCAGCCAAAUAUAUA